rnacentral:rRNA from 1 species
GUAAGUUCCGACCUGCACGAAUGGCGUAACGACUUCUCCGCUGUCUCAACCGCGAACUCGGUGAAAUUGCAGUACGAGUAAAGAUGCUCGUUUCGCGCAGAAGGACGGAAAGACCCCGGGACCUUUACUAUAGCUUGGUAUUGGUGUUCGCUUGGACUUGUGUAGGAUAGGUGGGAGACUGUGAAGCUGCCGCGCCAGCGGUGGUGGAGUCGUCGUUGAAAUACCAUUCUGGUUCAAGCGGUCACCUCAACCUAGACCCGUGAUCCGGGUUGGGGACAGUGCCUGGUGGGUAGUUUAACUGGGGCGGUUGCCUCCUAAAAUGUAACGGAGGCGCUCAAAGGUUCCCUCAGCCUGGUUGGUAAUCAGGUGGCGAGUGCAAGUGUACAAGGGAGCUUGACUGUGAGAC